CAUAGAUACAAAAUGGUAGGGAUUAAUAACCGUAACACCAUUUUCUAAUUUUAGGGUUAUUGAGUGACUGCCCGACAAAAGAUUUUAACGACAUUUUGGACGUAUAUGAAGAGGAUGUGUCGUCAAGAGGAUGUGCCCUUGCCGAAAUGCCGAUUUGGCAUAACAAGUGGAAGGGGAAAGAUGCUAGCAUUGUACCUAGUACUUUUCCCGACAUCAUGCGUGCUGUAGCAGACACGAUGUUGCCGAAUGUAAAAAUUUUAUUACAAGUAUAUUUUGGACACUUCCGGUGACCACAGCAUCGGCAGAACGAAGUUUUUCGCAGUUAUGAAGGUUGAAGACUUAUCUUCGUAACACGACAAAAGAAGAACACCUAACUUCGCUUGCGUUAAUGAAUGCGCAUAGAGACGUACCCCUUCCCACAGAUGAAAUCGUGAGGAUUUUUGCAGAAACGAAAUCCCGCAAACUUGAUAUUCUAUUGUAAUUUAUUUAUACAUGCAUUUUGUUUGUUUUAAU